CCUACGGGGGGCUGCAGUGGGGAAUAUUGGACAAUGGGCGAAAGCCUGAUCCAGCCAUGCCGCGUGUGUGAAGAAGGCCUUCGGGUUGUAAAGCACUUUCAGUGGGGAAGAAAGCCUUGGGGCUAAUACCCUCGAGGAAGGACAUCACCCACAGAAGAAGCACCGGCUAACUCCGUGCCAGCAGCCGCGGUAAUACGGAGGGUGCGAGCGUUAAUCGGAAUUACUGGGCGUAAAGCGCGCGUAGGCGGUCUGAUAAGCCGGUUGUGAAAGCCCCGGGCUCAACCUGGGAACGGCAUCCGGAACUGUCAGGCUAGAGUGCAGGAGAGGAAGGUAGAAUUCCCGGUGUAGCGGUGAAAUGCGUAGAGAUCGGGAGGAAUACCAGUGGCGAAGGCGGCCCUCUGGACUGACACUGACGCUGAGGUGCGAAAGCGUGGGUAGCAAACAGGAUUAGAUACCCUUGUAGUC
rnacentral:rRNA from 1 species